UACGAAGGGGGCUAGCGUUGCUCGGAAUUACUGGGCGUAAAGCGCACGUAGGCGGCUUUCUAAGUCGGGGGUGAAAUCCUGGAGCUCAACUCCAGAACUGCCUUCGAUACUGGAAAGCUCGAGUCCGGGAGAGGUGAGUGGAACUGCGAGUGUAGAGGUGAAAUUCGUAGAUAUUCGCAAGGACACCAGUGGCGAAGGCGGCUCACUGGCCCGGUACUGACGCUGGGGUGCGAAAGCGUGGGGAGCAAACAGG
rnacentral:rRNA from 1 species